UAUAAACAAGGGAAAGAGCUCCAUCCAUGUGGAGAAGAUUGGGAGCGACUUCUGAAGCAGCUGUGUCAUACAAGCCUCACAAAAGAUGCCAUUGCUUUAGGGAUUUGACUAGAGUGGUGCAUUGGCUCAGUGAUUAAGAAGAUGCUGGACUUGUUGGCUAGAAAGUCGGUUCGAGGCUUGAGCACCACGUUACGUGGCGAACUCCCAUUCUCGCUCUAGCUCCUGCCAACCUAGCAGUUUGAAAGCAUGUAAAUGUGAGUAGAUAAAUAGGUACCACUUUGGUGGGAAAGUAACAGUGCUCUGUAAAUCAUGCUGGCCACAUGAUGGCAGAAAUGUCUUCGGACAGCGCUGGCUCAAUGGCCUUGAAACAGAGAUGAGCACCACCACAUAUAGUUGGCAAUGACUAGCGGAGUAAAAUCCGCAGGGACGCCUUUUAUUUUGUACAACACCAUGCUCCUACCUUCUAUUUUUCCCAAAACAACAUCCCUGUGAAGUGAGAGAGAAAAACUGUCGCAAAAUCACCCAAGGGGUUGGACUUGAUCAUCUAAAUCAAUCAGGGCUGUCAAACUCCCGCCCCAUGGGCCGGAUGCGUCACAUGCUGGCCACGCCCAUGCCCAUGUUUAGCGAAGGGGGAAAAAGUCCUGAUACGUCAUGUGAUGCCACCGUGAUGACGUGAGUUUGACACCCCUGAUCUAAAUAGUCCCUUCUGGUUUUAUAUUUCUAUGUCAUUCAGACAAGGCUGGUGAUAACCCAAAGGCUACCAGUUGCUUGACUCCAGUGUUCACAGUAUGGAAACCCCUCUCAUCAGAGAAGGUAUCUGUGCUUAGAAUCAGUCAAGGCAAGAAAACAAAAUAUUCCCCAAAUGUUCACAAGGUUAGCAAUAGCAAGAUAUAAUGAAUAUUGAACCAGCUUUCCUUAACCCAACAUCCUCCAGAUGCUUUGGACUACAGCUGCUUUGCCCCAUCAGGCAAGAGCCUUGUUGACCGUGGAUGAUGAAAGCUAUAGUGCAAGAUGCUGACUGGGGAAUUCUGGGAGUUGAAGUCCAGACAUCUUACUGCUCUGGAGGCUGAAGCAUCCAUACAUCUAUGAGAAAUCAUGAGGAACUACAAUGAAGGUUAAGCCUGAGUUUUGAAGAAAAAGGACCUCAAUCUUUGGAACAACACAACAUUCAGGUUUUCGUGCUACAUCCAUACUAAGAUCAUAUUCAUUAUAUACAUGUGUCACAGAUCUAUGUAUUCCACUCCGACUGUGCUUGCUACUUCACUAGUGACCCAUCUGCCUACUUCAGUUGAAAAGCACAUGACUGAGAGAUGCCAGACGCUGGUAGGCUGAAGCAGAAGGAUAAUAAUGAUCACAAUGCUCAGAAAAAGGAGAAAACCCAGAAUGAUGCAGGUCAUCUGCAGGUCCCGAUCUGGUGAUGUUGCUUUCACGUCUUCAGGAGUUGUAAAAGCUGCAAAUGGAAACGUUGAUAGAAUUGAGAAAAGGAAAGAAAAAAACUGCUUUCUGAAGCCGUCUACAGGUAGUCCUUGACUUACGACCACAACUGAGCCCAGAAUUUAUGUUGCUAAGCGACACAUUAUUUAAGUGAGUUUUGUCCCAUUUUGUGACUUUUCUUGCCACAUUUGUUAAGUGACUCACUGCAGUUGUUAAAUUAGUAACAUGGUUGUUAAUCUGGCUUCCCCGUUGACUUUGCUUGUCAGAAGGAUGUAAAUCACGUGCUGCAAUGGCUAUAAGUGCUCUCAAUGGCCAUAAGCCAUUGUUUUCAAUGCUGUUGUAAUUUCAAACGGUCACUAAAAGAACUGUUGUAAGCCGA